GCGGUCUGGAAAGGCCCGCCAAAGACGGUAACAGCCCGGUAGUUGAAAUGGCUUUCCCUCCAGAGUGGAUCCUGAGUACGGCGGAACACGUGAAAUUCCGUCGGAAUCCGGGAGGACCAUCUCCCAAGGCUAAAUACUCCCUAGUGACCGAUAGUGAACCAGUACCGUGAGGGAAAGGUGAAAAGCACCCCGGAAGGGGAGUGAAACAGUUCCUGAAACCGUGUGCCUACAAGUAGUUAGAGCCCGUUAAUGGGUGAUAGCGUGCCUUUUGUAGAAUGAACCGGCGAGUUACGAUUUGUUGCAAGGUUAAGCGGAAAAAGCGGAGCCGUAGCGAAAGCGAGUCUGAAUAGGGCGCAUAAGUAACAGGUCGUAGACCCGAAACCAGGUGAUCUACCCAUGUCCAGGAUGAAGGUAAGGUAAUACUUACUGGAGGUCCGAACCCACGCACGUUGAAAAGUGCGGGGAUGAGGUGUGGGUAGCGGAGAAAUUCCAAUCGAACUUGGAGAUAGCUGGUUCUCUCCGAAAUAGCUUUAGGGCUAGCCUCGAGGUAAAGAGUCAUGGAGGUAGAGCACUGUUUGGACUAGGGGCCCUUCUCGGGUUACCGAAUUCAGAUAAACUCCGAAUGCCAUGUACUUAUACUCGGGAGUCAGACUGCGAGUGAUAAGAUCCGUAGUCGAAAGGGAAACAGCCCAGACCACCAGUUAAGGUCCCCAAAUAUAUGUUAAGUGGAAAAGGAUGUGGGGUUGCUUAGACAACCAGGAUGUUGGCUUAGAAGCAGCCACCAUUGAAAGAGUGCGUAAUAGCUCACUGGUCGAGUGACCCCGCGCCGAAAAUGUACCGGGGCUAAACAUAUUACCGAAACUGUGGAUGAACCUCUUUAGAGGUUCGUGGUAGGAGAGCGUUCUAAGGGCGGUGAAGUCAGACCGGAAGGACUGGUGGAGCGCUUAGAAGUGAGAAUGCCGGUAUGAGUAGCGAAAGAAGGGUGAGAAUCCCUUCCACCGAAUAUCUAAGGUUUCCUGAGGAAGGCUCGUCCGCUC
rnacentral:rRNA from 1 species